GGCAAAAUUAAAAAAUGGAGUGGUGGGCAGAAAUCAAGUCAUAAUAGGCCUUUUCAGCUCUCCUCAGGGUUGUACUUUCUCCUGAGAAAUGGAAGAAAUGAGAAGCCAUGUGAUGGGUUCAGGUAGGGAGUGAUAAAGCCAGCAUGGUUUGAGAAAGAGCCCGAUGGCUGCAGAAUGCGGAGUGGAACAGAGGGCCGGAGACCGGAGGCAGGGCACCACAAGGACGCUGCUGCUGUGAGGGAUGGAAGGCAGUGACCUGGGACAGGUAGUGACAAGGGGAUGGAGAGACCUGGUGUCCUUCCUCAGCCUGCUGCUCGGCGAGCACGUCAUGUCCUCGGUCCUGGUCCCGGAUGAAACCGUCUGACCACGGUCUCUCCAAGCGCCCAGGUGUGCUGGCACCGCUGUGCUGAACAGACCUCUGCUGAUGAGUUUCAUUAUAAAUGCAUGAGCUCCAUUCUCAGCUGGGCACCCAACACUGGCAAAUUGUUACUUAUCUUUCAACAACCUCCUUUCUCAUUUCUGACAGCAAACAUUUCAAAUCUUUCCCUCUCUUUUAAAACCCCAUAUUAAGAUCCUGGCUCUCUCAGUCUCCCUCGAUAACUCAAUCUCUUUUUUAACAAAGAAAAUAGUAGUCCGAGCAGUGAGCUCCCUCAGCACUCCUCGUUUCCACCGUAACAUUAUAUACCUUUUCUCUCCCCUGGGUCUUUCAUUUCUCUCUGUGCCCAGAUCUUUUUCUAUGCUCUACAAAUGUGCUCAAGCAUCUGCCUAUUGAAACUGCUUAGAAUCAUUCUACUCCCUCUCUUGCCUUUCUUUCACUGACAUAUAUCUUAAAAGAAUUCUCAGGCCGGCCGGGUGGCAUAAUGGAUAAGUUUGUGUGCUCUCCUUCAGUGGCCUAAGGUUCACAGGCCUGGAUUCCAGGUGCAGACCUAGCACCGCUGGUCAAGCCACACUGUGGAGACAUCCCACAUAAAAUAGAGGAAGAUUGGCACCGAUGUUAGCUCAGGGCCAAUCUUCCUAACAACAAAAAAAAGAAUUCUCUAUACGUGCAGCCUCCACCUUCAUUUCUCCACUUAGUCCUCCUGAAUUGCAAUUUGACUUCCAAUGCUAUCACUCUACAGCUGUGCUUUCCAAACUUUUCCAUGUCAUGGCAACCAGAAAAAAUUCUUACAUUUAUUUAGUAUCCUGAGGACAGCAAUCAAGGUCACUUUAGCCCCUUCUGACCAUGUCAGGAACUUACGGGGCUUGUUUUUCAGCUUGCUGGCCAUUGCUUAUGGCUCACCAGCCUGCCAGGUGGAAGCUCCGCUCCACUGGAAUGGCUCUGGCAAAGGACACCAGUGACCUCCCUGACAAAGGCAACAUCCGCUUCUCUGUCCUCAUCCGUUCUAUAGCAGAGUUUAUUGAUCAUGGAGAUUCUUUAUUUAAAACGACCACAGUUUGGUCAAGAUAAUGUGGAAUUGGAGGCCAGGAAGUAGAUGGUGAUGAGAAGAGCCGGCUGCUUUCCUUUCACUGUCUCCUUGAUUAAAGCCCAGUUGUUUAGCAGAACUCUGCCAUCAACAGGCGAUGCCUGGGAAUCCAUGGUCAGAUUACGUGGGCUGAGAAAGUCGCUUGCUAUAGGCAAAGGGCCCCAGAAUCUUAAUUGACUGAGCAAUUGGUAAAUCGUGACACACAAGAAUCAUUUUGUGUGUUAUUGUACCCCUUGAAUGUUUUCACAAAUUAAUUCUAAUUAAUUAAGACCCUGAGCAUGGAUUAUUUGCAUAUUUCUGAGGAGAGGCAGUUAGGGAGUCUUUGCAUUACAAAUCUUAGGGUGAUUUUUGUUGUGUGUUUGGUUUAACUUGGGAUUGUCCUGGGUAUACCUGCGUAUCAGCUUACCCCCCUGCACGUUGCCUUCUCUUUUUCUCCGAGUUGGCCCUGACUAUAAAGGCAAGGUUUGACCUGACUAAUGAGCAUUUUCCCACCAUCUGAGCAGGGAAUGGACUGUUAACAACGUGGCCAUAGUUAAGGUGUAUAGUAGUUGGUGUAGUGGGAGACGGUGCAGGAGAGCGAUUGGGUAAGCCAAAUUCUGAGGUCAUGGGUCUCUUCAGUUUGCCCUCUUAUGCCUGUUCCCAAAUGGGCUGAGGAGACUGGAGUCCCUCCUUGGACUACCUCAUCACAAACCCUGUCAUGGACUCCCAGCUCUCUCCAGGGAGCUGUGCUGGCUCUUCUCCACUUUCCCUUGUAGAGCCCUUCUCAGCCCUGUCCUGUGCCCCUGGACAUGGAACCUUUGCCGACCACACAUCUGAGCUGCUCACCCUUCAGCUUCAGACGGCCCGUCAUGGGGUUAGGGUCGGUCACCAGCAGGAAGCCUGGGGCAGGAGGAGAGAGAGGUCAGGAUCACUGUUCUCACUCUCUCCCCUCUUGCUGGAGUUCUGAGUCACUACAUUCACCUAGGGCCACAGCUCCUGCCCGGCAGCCCCUUCUCCACAAGGGGCACUUAUCUGGCACUGGAAACAUCUUUCCCUCCCUUCCCCUUCAGGCCUAGCAGGAAUAAUGACGUCCCGGUGUUCCUGGGACAUUUCUUGUUGUAUCUUUGUACUGGCCUCUCUGACUACACGCUUUGUAAAUAGUCCCUUCAUUAAACUCUUUUUAGUGAAACUCUUUGGGUAUGCCAUCUUUUCCUGCCAAGACCCUGGCUAUAUGAGGCUAGCCAUAUGUCUAUGGUUCAGCAUUUCAGUGAAUAUAAUUACUUUUUUUUUUUUUGAGGAAGAUUAGCGCUGAG
rnacentral:lncRNA from 1 species